GAAAGCCCCAUCUCCCUCUCAGUCUCACAUCUGAUUCCAGUGCUCAGCCUCCCCCACACACUCCCUGGAAAACAUCUUUAACUUAGGCCUGGAGCAGUCCCAUCGCCUCAGGCCUUAGAAACACAAGUCCCUGCGGCAGGCGUGUGAAUGCGGGAGUGUGUGCUUGCGAGUGUGUGCUUGUGUGUGUUUGUGAGUGUAUAUGUGUGCUUGUGUGUGCGCUUGUGUCUGAGUGCAUGUGUGUGAGCGUGCUUGUGUAUGUGUGUGCUUGUGUGUCUGCUUGUAUUUUGUGUGUGAGUGUGUUUGUGUAGGUGUGCUUGUGUGUGUGUGUGCUUGUGUGCGUGCUUGUGUGUUUUUGUGUGUGCAUGUGUGUGUGCUUGUGUGAGUGCUUGUGCGUGUGUGUGUGUGCAGGGUGCAGGGAGGGGCAGCAGAGGGUGGGAACUUCGCAAUGUUCUGCCUUCUCCUCACUGUCUCCCUGAACUCAUGCACUCACACGGCCAGGCUGCCAACAGACCUUGGGCGCCUCCAGAUUUUUCUGGCCCCAGAGGACUGCUCUGAUUCCAGCUUACCUCAAGCCAGAGCCUCAGCUAUUGAAGCAAUAAUUCUAGGUGCAGCCUUGGACCUGAAACUGGGCGGGCACCUAGAGGCUACUCAAGGACCAUGAACCGUGCCCUCCGGGGGUUGGUGAGACAAACCCGAGGUGAUCAUUCACCCCACCAGCUUCCCCAUCACCUGACCGGAGGCUGAAGGGGCUUCGCGAGAACAAGCUGAACUACAGAGGCAGAGCAGAAAAUUAGGGCUGGGUGUGGAGACUCAAGCCUAUAAUCCAGCACUUUGGGAGGCCGAGGUGAAAGGAUCGCUUGAGCUCAGGAGUUCGAGGCCAGCCUGGGCAACAUGGUGAGAUCUCAACUCUACUAAAAUUAAAACGAAAAAAAUAUUAGCCGGGUGUGGUGGGGCUCACCUGUGGUAACAGCUACUCAGAGGCUGGGUUGGGAGGAUUGCUUGAGCCUGGGAGUUUGAGGCUGCCGUGAGCUGUGACUGUGCCACUGCACUCCAGCUUGGGUGACAGAGCAAGACCCCAUCUCAAAAAAAAAAAAAAAAAUUAAAAAAGAAGAAAAGGAGAAAGGGUUGGAGGUGGGUCGUCUGGCUGAUCUGGCAGUGCCUUUGUCUUCACAGAGAUUCAGGCUCCUUCAGCUUCUGCUCCACUAUCCUUAGACCACAGCUUCCAACUUCAAACUUGCCUCAAGGCCCAAGAUGGAUGCUAGAACUCUAGCUAUCACAUCUUCAAAUCCAGUAGAAACGGAGUUUCACCAGGUUACCCAGACGCCUUGAACUCCUGAGCUCAAGCAAUCUGCCUGCCGUGGCCUCCCCAAAUGCUGAGAUUACAGGAGUGAGCCACCAUGCCUGGCCAAAGCUGUUAUUUUUUAAAAAUCUCUGUGUGUCUAAGAAGACACAGGGCCUCCCUGAGAACAGGGAGCGUGUGUUUGCUUUAAGUCUACAAUCACAAAGAAAGUCACCAGAGUUGUUUCUGCCAGAACCAGAGAGAUUUUGCCUCGAGGACAACUCAGUGCAAUGGGCCUGCAGCCUCCAGCAACAGGAGUGGCUGCUUUGGCCAGGUGGCAGAACAGCCCUCCUAGACAAAGCAGAGACGUCUGUAACAAAGACCAGCACCCAGUGGGCAUCCAAUCUGUAUCUGAUGAAAGAAGGAAUGAGGAAAUAAAUGAACGGCUGAUUGUAAUCACUUUCCAGGAUAGUGAGAAUGCCUGGGACAGAACCCUGGUUCCAUCUCCCACUUAGAGGAGCCCUUUUCAUUAACAGCUCCACUUAACUUCUAUUUGCCAUGCAAAUCAACUGGCCCAGGUGAGUGGUGCCUGCACUGACUCCUGAAAUCCCAAGGGCCUCCGCGGCUCCCCGAGGCUCAAUCAGGGCACGAAGACACAUGUGCAGACACUUUGCCUUUGCUAAUCCUGCGGGCCUUUCACAGAGAGCAGGAAAUCAAUGACUCAAAUAUUCCUUUUGCCUCAGGCAACUGCUUAAAUGAGACUUUACCCUCUGCUGCCAAGGAAGUUGGGUGGCAGGGGAGUUCCUUCAGACUCCCCCCCAGUUGAUCCUGGAUAGAACUGGCCUAGGUUUAUAUGCCAUUGUUUGUUUUACUAACGGUAAACCACUGCGAGUCCGGCCACUGAAAAUCAGCUGACAGCAGGAGCAAAGAUUCGCUCGGCUCACUGGGGAGCACGGAAUGUCUGCCAUCUCUGAGAUGUUUCCAGAAUAGAGGGAGCCUUGUGCAAGCCGCAGAAUGGCUUGGCCUCCCCAGUGGUUUGCUGUUGGGUCCGAGGAUCCGGAGCUGCCCUGCAGGCAGCCAACGCCUGGGCCAAGCACCAGUACCCUGGGGCCCCCAAGUGAGGGCUGUCUGUGGGGAGCUUGUCUCCUCUGGUUUGUCCACAACCCAGUGACCCCAGGGUAGGGGUGGGAGUGGGGGGCAAUGCCCAGGAACAACUUGGCACAUGGGGAGGUGAGAGGGAGGGCUGGUUUUGGAAGCCGCUUUAGAAUCUUGGCUUAGAAAUGCAGAAUGCAUGACCCUGGGGAAGUGUCCUGCCCUGUCAGGGGCUCGCAGGCCUCAUCUGUGUGCUGGCCCCUUAAGGGUCAUGAGUAGGUGACAUACAGAUAGGGGGCACCUGCACUGUGCAUGGUGGGUGCUGUAAAUCAAAAAUAACAUCCUAAGCCCUCCAACUGACUGAGGGGACCCCCGAGAAACCUGAGAAACUGAAUUCCCAGCCAUGGCUGGAAAAGAGGUCUGACACACCUUGUUAUACCCCCUACCUUUUGGAAUUCAGGUGUAACUGACCAGCAUUCACAUUAAAACAGAGAUUGUAAUGUUACCAGACAGGGGUCCUCAUCCAGACUCCAAGAGGGUGUUCUUGGACAUCACGCAAAAAAUAAUUCGGGGCAAGUGCAUAAAGUGAAAGCAAGUUUAAGAAAGUAAAGGAAGGCCGGGCGUAGUGGCUCACACCUGUAACCCCAGUACUUUGGGAGGCCAACGUGGGAGGAUUGCUUGAGCUCAGGAGUUGGAGACCAGCCUGAGUGAGACCCUAUCCCUACAAAAAAAAUACAAAAAUUAGCCAGGCAUGGUGGUGCAUGUCCCAGCUACUCAGGAGGCUGAGGUGGGAGGAUCGCUUGAGCUGGGGAGGUUGAAGCUGCAGUGAGCCGAGACUGCACCACUGCUCCAGCCUGGACAACACAGAGAGACCCAGUCUCAAAAAAAAAAAAAAAAAAAAAAGAAAGAAAGAAAAGAAAAGAAAGAAAAGAAA
rnacentral:lncRNA from 1 species